rnacentral:rRNA from 1 species
AUUGAACGCUGGCGGCAGGCCUAACCCAUGCAAGUCGAACGAGUGGCGGACGGGUGAGUAAUGUCUGGGAAACUGCCUGAUGGAGGGGGAUAACUCCUGGAAACGGUAGCUACUACCGCAUACCAUCGGAUGUGUCCCUAUGGGAUUAGCUAGUAGGUGGGGUAAAGGCUCCCCUGGGCGACGAUCCCUAGCUGGUCUGAGAGGAUGACCAGCCAGACUGGAACGGAGACACGGUCCAGACUCCUACGGGAGGCAGCAGUGGGGAAUAUUGCACAAUGGGCGCAAGCCUGAUGCAGCCAUGCCGCGUGUAUGAAGAAGGCCUUCGGGUUGUAAAGUACUUUCAGCGGGGAGGCGUUACCCGAAGAAGAAGCACCGGCUAACUCCGUGCCAGCAGCCGCGGUAAUUC